rnacentral:rRNA from 1 species
GACGAACGCUGGCGGCGUGCUUAACACAUGCGAGUCGAACGGAAAGGCCCUGCUUGCAGGGUACUCGAGUGGCGAACGGGUGAGUAACACGUGGGUGAUCCGCCCUGCACUUCGGGAUAAGCCUGGGAAACUGGGUCUAAUACCGGAUAGGAGCCAUUUUUAGUGUGAUGGUUGGAAAGUUUUUUCGGUGUAGGAUGAGCUCGCGGCCUAUCAGCUUGUUGGUGGGGUAAUGGCCUACCAAGGCGGCGACGGGUAGCCGGCCUGAGGGGGUGGACGGCCACAUUGGGACUGAGAGACGGCACAGACGCCUACGGGAGGAAGAAGGGGGGAAUAUUGCACAAUGGGCGCAAGCCGGAUGCAGCGACGCCGCGUGGGGGAUGACGGCCUUGGGGUUGUAGACACCUUUCGCUAGGGACGAAGCUUUUUGUGACGGUACCUAGAGAAGAAGCACCGGCUAACUACGUG